AGUAUUCUAAAGACAAGUAACGCAGUAUCCUAGUCGGGAACCCUUUUUUGAAGGCGGGCCUAAAAAUCCGUCAAGGGCACAUCGAUGAAGUUCCUGGUGCUGGCUGCUGACGCCCAGUUGGGGGUCGGUACUGGGAGUUAAGGGGGCGGGGCGACCUGCAAUGGCAUGUGGGCGUUGACCCUGCCCCCGUGGAGACCCAAGUGCGUGGGAAGUUGUCAUUGGCAAUUACUAUGGCUUGGGUAUAAACCUGCAUGUGGUGAAAGCUGCGUGCAGUGUAGCCUGCCUUGAGUGGUGGCGGUGGAGGUCCAUAGGGUGUGAUAUAAUGCAUGGGCCCAUGCAUUAUAUCACAUGGGUUUAAACCGUCACUGCAAAAGAGGCUAAAAAAAGGUACUCCCGUAGAGGAAAACUCCUAGGCUGUCCGAAAAACGGGGCGGUAUGGGGAUUAAAGUGCGGACUAAGUGGUAAUUCAGCCUCGAAAACGGCAACGUU
rnacentral:sRNA from 1 species